AACCGAAUAAUUUUUGGUAUUCUCCUCAAUUCGGUUAUUACCGAAUUAAUAUUCGGUAUUCGGGUAUAAAUAUGGUUAGUGAAAUAUUGGUAUUCGGUUAACCGAAUAGCCGAAUAGAGUUUUAAAAAAAGGCCUAACCGAAUACUUUUUAAUUCUUAAGAGUUCAAGACUUCAGUUACUUUACCCUCACUCUCUCAGACCUAACCUAAGUACUCUACCGACUCUUUUUCUCUUCUCUUCACAGCCAAAUCCCGAAGUUCGUUUUCCGAUCUACGGAGAGCAAAGUUCGGGGGCUUUGGGGUUAUGAUCUGGUUUGGAGGUUUACUUGGGGUCCGUCAUCCGUGGAUAUGGCAACAAUCGAAGUCUGGAGGAUUCUUCAUGAAUUAUUUCCAGGUACGUCCAAUGGGAGCAGACUCUUGACACCACUACCAGAAGGGGCCAUGUAAAUGCUUCCCCAAAUUGUUAUAUUCACGAGAAGAGAGCUUUAAGUGAUGAAGAAGCAUGUGAGCAUGGUUUCGGAUCUUGAUGGUUACGGAUGUCCCGGGAGUUUUGGAAGAUGGUCCUCUGCUAAAGAUGAUCUUGAAAGCAUGUGAGCAUGUUUUCCCCAAAUUGUUAUAUGUAUUUCUUGCUAUUUGUGUCUUUAAUCAGUUCUUGCUUGCUCUUGCCGGAACAUGGGUUUGUUUGGCCUAUUGAUUUCGGAUGUUCGAUCUUUAGCCCAUUCGAUGGUUAGGGCUUCCACUGAUCUGUUUUGGAUUCGAUACGUGCUUUGUUGAUUUUAUUGAUUAUCCUGUUCAUGGCUAGAUUUGGUAUUCGGUUGUUGAUCGUUGUUAAUUAGUGAUUGAAAACUCUAGUUUGCUUUGCCAAUUUGAAAUGAAAUUUUUCUAUUUGAUAAAAUGGAACUUAUUUUCUGUUAUUAACCGAAAUAAUUGAAUUUUCAAUUUUCAAUUCGAUAAUUUGGUCUGAAAUUCGGUUAGUUAUUCGGAUAGUGCAAUUUCAAAGAUUUCGGUAUUUGGUUAUAUCCGAAUAAGCUAUUCGGUUCGGAUAUAACCGAAUUAUUCACCCUUAACUACGAUAGGAUAGUCGGGGGUCUCGCUCUUCGGUGAGCGAACAGCUCGCUGGUGAGCUGGCGGGGUUACAAGGGGGUAGUGCCCCUUAUAAGCCAAGCGUAAAGUGCAAUUGAGCUUGGAGAUUUAUUAGUAGUUGAGUCUUGAGUUUUACUAAUGUAUUAGGCCUCAUGUGUUUGGGCUCAUGUUAUAGCCGCUAGGGUUUUUCUAAGUACUAUAAAAAUAUUGUUUGGAGUGGACUCCAGGUAAUACUAUAAUGAGUAAUGGUACCAUGACAAAAGACGGAUAACAAAAAUGCAUACAAAAUAAUGUGUUAGAUUAUAAUUUGUUGAUCUUCUACCAAACAUAGAUGAGUUCAAUAGUUAUAUACAAGGGUACACUUUUUUUUCAUCAUACUUACCUCGGUUUACAAAUAUAUUAUUGGACUGAUUUUUUUUUCAUUUGACUCAUUGUACUAUAUUUUUUAACAAAACGUUAUAAAAUCCGUCCAAACCCAGUUGACUUUUAACGGCAAAAAUAAAAAUAUAUAAUUUUAUUUAGUUUUCCACGUUCGUCUCACAGAUUCGUCCAUGUCACUGUCAAGGUGGAAUUACAGUCUAUAAAAUAAAAAUAAUUAUAUUAGAAACAAAAUAGUUAGUAAAGAAGGUGACAAUAUAUUUUUAGAAUAUAAAUAAAUCAUAAUUAAACAAAUUAAAAGGUUAAUAAUAAAAAUCAAACCAUCUGUGCAACAACUCUUACCAUUUCAUCUUUUGCAAAUUACCAAUAAGGAUCUAAUCAUCAUCAUCCUUUAUCAACAACUCAAAUCCUCAAAAUAUCAUAUUCGAUCUCUAUCUCUAUCUCCAUCUGUUAGAAUUUGAGCCUAAAUUAAUGCGGGUGUCAUUAAUUAUUUGUAAUGAUAUCACACAUCAAUGUGUUCUAAUCUAGGAGUAGAUUAAAUCAAGUAUUUGAAAGCUCAAAUCUAUGGAGUAAUGAAUGAGAAAUUAACUCCUAAAGUCAUCACUUGAACAUGAUAAUAAUAGUUGUGAGGAACAAAAGCCUCACAUCAUCUAAAAACUAAACAAUGAGUUAGUAUAUAUAUAAUUACCUUGCUCUUGGGUUUGGGUUUGGGCCCCAAGGGGCACCCCACUUUUGUUGAAAGGAGGGUAUCUAGCCAAUGUUUAGUUUGAACCCACACGCGCGCGUCGCCACCGCCGUCGACCGGUCGGGCUCGAGGUUCUUGGGUCUGGAUCAUUGUAUAUUUCUUUUUGAACAAAAUUUAUUUAAAAUUUUGCUUUGUUUACUUCCAAUUUUAUUUAUUAUUAUCAAAAUUUAAAAUUGUGUCGUUAAUUUAAGUUCCUGCGAUGCGGUUGAACUAUUUGCAGAUUAUGCAGAUUUUAGCGUUGCAACGCUUAGGUACAACGCCGCAGAGCUGAGCCCAAACGGUGCCUAGCGCCGCAAUGCUAGAACGCAGAGUCGCGGAGCUGUCGGCGUUUUCUGCACGAACGGAUGCGACCAGUCAACCAUAUUAGUUCAACCAUAUUAGUUCAUUGGUGUCCCAUACCUUUUCAACGGUGUCCCAAACCUUUUCAAGAGCUUGUACCCCAUCUGAAGGGUCACGAA
rnacentral:lncRNA from 1 species